rnacentral:rRNA from 1 species
CGAAAGCCUGAUGCAGCAACGCCGCGUGAAGGAAGAAGGGUUUCGGCUCGUAAACUUCUAUCAACAGGGACGAAAAAAAUGACGGUACCUGAAUAAGAAGCCCCGGCUAACUACGUGCCAGCAGCCGCGGUAAUACGUAGGGGGCAAGCGUUAUCCGGAAUUACUGGGUGUAAAGGGAGAGUAGGCGGCAUGGUAAGUUAGAUGUGAAAGCCCGAGGCUUAACCUCGGGAUUGCAUUUAAAACUAUCAAGCUAGAGUACAGGAGAGGUAAGUGGAAUUCCUAGUGUAGCGGUGAAAUGCGUAGAUAUUAGGAAGAACACCAGUGGCGAAGGCGACUUACUGGACUGAAACUGACGCUGAGGCUCGAAAGCGUGGGGAGCGAACAGGAUUAGAUACCCUGGUAGUCCACGCUGUAAACGAUGAGUGCUAGGUGUCGGGGGGGAACCCUCGGUGCCGCAGCUAACGCAAUAAGCACUCCACCUGGGGAGU